AAGUCGAGCGGAUGAAGGUAGCUUGCUACCGGAUUCAGCGGCGGACGGGUGAGUAAUGCUUAGGAAUCUGCCUAUUAGUGGGGGACAACGUUCCGAAAGGAGCGCUAAUACCGCAUACGUCCUACGGGAGAAAGCAGGGGACCUUUGGGCCUUGCGCUAAUAGAUGAGCCUAAGUCGGAUUAGCUAGUUGGUAGGGUAAAGGCCUACCAAGGCGACGAUCUGUAGCGGGUCUGAGAGGAUGAUCCGCCACACUGGGACUGAGACACGGCCCAGACUCCUACGGGAGGCAGCAGUGGGGAAUAUUGGACAAUGGGGGGAACCCUGAUCCAGCCAUGCGCGUGUGUGAAGAAGGCCUUUUGGUUGUAAAGCACUUUAAGCGAGGAGGAGGCUACCUAGAUUAAUACUUUAGGAUAGUGGACGUUACUCGCAGAAUAAGCACCGGCUAACUCUGUGCCAGCAGCCGCGGUAAUACAGAGGGUGCGAGCGUUAAUCGGAUUUACUGGGCGUAAAGCGUGCGUAGGCGGCCAAUUAAGUCAAAUGUGAAAUCCCCGAGCUUAACUUGGGAAUUGCAUUCGAUACUGGUUGGCUAGAGUAUGGGAGAGGAUGGUAGAAUUCCAGGUGUAGCGGUGAAAUGCGUAGAGAUCUGGAGGAAUACCGAUGGCGAAGGCAGCCAUCUGGCCUAAUACUGACGCUGAGGUACGAAAGCAUGGGGAGCAAACAGGAUUAGAUACCCUGGUAGUCCAUGCCGUAAACGAUGUCUACUAGCCGUUGGGGCCCUGAGGCUUUAGUGGCGCAGCUAACGCGAUAAGUAGACCGCCUGGGGAGUACGGUCGCAAGACUAAAACUCAAAUGAAUUGACGGGGGCCCGCACAAGCGGUGGAGCAUGUGGUUUAAUUCGAUGCAACGUGAAGAGCCUUACCUGGCUUUGAC
rnacentral:rRNA from 1 species